UAUGGACAUGAUUAUGUGAAACAUGAAUUGAAUUGAUAUGAUUGCAUAUAUAUAUUUGUGUAUAUGCUUAUAUCUCGAUUAUGGGAAAAAUUAUACAUGUUUUACAGCGAAGGGUUAGUUAUGUUGAUAAAUGAAAUUGUUUUGUAAAACAUUUGUUUUUGCCCACUCACGUUUUCUGUUUUGUGCCCCUCGAGGUUUUAAGUAAGAUUGUUGUUGGUGGCUUGAGGAUGUCGACAUUUCUGACCUAUCUAAAUAAUAGUAGGACAUUCUUGGUACUGUAUAACUAGUACUUGUCCUACUAGACUGCACCUAGACUUAUUAUGCUCUGAUUAGGAGUGUUUACUUUUGUAACUAACUCCUAUCACUUCCUGUUGAGUAGUGCACUCUAGUAAUUCGAUUUUUAAUUAUUCGUAUAUUUCCUAUCAUUAUUGCUUCCGCACUGUGCACAUGGCUACGUCACUCUCACGUGACGGCCAGCAUGCCUUGAUCUUGGUCGGGGUGUGUCAAUGCAGCUAUAGGCAUGCCAAUGUUGUUGAAAUCACUAAAACAAUGAAAACUAUGAAGUCUUACUUCACGUGAAGCUUUUAAAGCAUUGAAUUCAUAUCCAAUUCACCAAUUUUUUUUUUUUCAAUCAACAUGUUUGUAGUUUCAUUGGUUUGAGUUCAGUUUUGCAAUGGAGGGUGAGAUUGGUUUUGAGAGUUGAAGAAGAUAAAUAAUUUUGAGAUAU
rnacentral:lncRNA from 1 species